rnacentral:rRNA from 1 species
GACGAACGCUGGCGGCGUGCUUAACACAUGCAAGUCGAGCGGAGCGGCGCACGGGUGAGUAACGCGUGAGUAACUGCCCCACUCUCUGGGAAAACAGUUGGAAAUGGCUGCUAAUACCGGAUAGUGGGGGAUGACUCGCGUCCUAUCAGCUUGUUGGGGGGGUAGUGGCCUACCAAGGCGACGACGGGUGGCCGGCCGGAGGGGGCGACCGGCCACGUUGGGCUGAUAGACCGCCGCAAAUCCUACGUGGGGCAGCAUUGGGGAAUAUUGCACAAUGGGGGAAACGCUGAUGCAGGAACGCGCUGGGGGGAUGAGGGCCUUCGGGUUGUAAUCCACUUUCAGCCAUGACGCGGUAGUGGCAGAAGAAGCACCGGCUAACUACGUGCCAGCAGCCGCGGUAAUAC